rnacentral:misc_RNA from 1 species
AAAGUCGUAACAAGGUUUCCGUAGGUGAACCUGCGGAAGGAUCAUUACAGAGUUCAUGCCCUUACGGGUAGACCUCCCACCCUUGAAUACUAUACCUCUUGUUGCUUUGGCGGGCCGCUCCGGCUACCGGCUCCGGCUGGUGAGUGCCCGCCAAGGGACCUAAACUCUUGAAUUAUUGUGUCGUCUGAGUACUAUAUAAUAGUUAAAACUUUCAACAACGGAUCUCUUGGUUCUG